rnacentral:rRNA from 1 species
AUUGAACGCUGGCGGCAGGCCUAACACAUGCAAGUCGAACGAGUGGCGGACGGGUGAGUAAUGUCUGGGAAACUGCCUGAUGGAGGGGGAUAACUACUGGAAACGGUAGCUAAUACCGCAUACCAUCGGAUGUGCCCAGAUGGGAUUAGCUAGUAGGUGGGGUAAAGGGUAACCUAGGCGACGAUCCCUAGCUGGUCUGAGAGGAUGACCAGCCAAACUGGAACUGAGACACGGUCCAGAUGCCGACGGGAGGGAGCAGUGGGGAAUAUUGCACAAUGGGCGCAAGCCUGAUGCAGCCAUGCCGCGUGUAUGAAGAAGGCCUUCGGGUUGUAAAGUACUUUCAGCGGGGAGGCGUUACCCGCAGAAGAAGCACCUGCUAACUCCGUGCCAGCGGCCGCGGUAAUAC